rnacentral:rRNA from 1 species
CACAUCUAAGGAAGGCAGCAGGCGCGUAAAUUACCCAAUCCUGACUCAGGGAGGUAGUGACAAGAAAUAACAAUAAACCGGCUUAUGCCGGUUUAAUUGGAAUGAGUACAGUUUAAACAUCUUAACGAGGAACAAUUGGAGGGCAAGUCUGGUGCCAGCAGCCACGGUAAUUCCAGCUCCAAUAGCGUAUACUAAAGCUGUUGCAGUUAAAAAGCUCGUAGUUGGAUUUCUGUGGGGACGGAGCGGCCGGCCGCAACUCGCGGUUCGAGCUAGCGCUUUCCCUACAUCCUGCCGCGAACCGUGCUACCAUUAGUUUGGUGGCGCCGGGGAUCGGCUCGAUUACUUUGAGAAAAAUAGAGUGUUCAAAGCAGGCCACACGCCUUGAAUAAGUUAGCAUGGAAUAAUAACUAAGGACUUCGGUUCUAUUUUGUUGGUGUUCGGGACUGAAGUAAUGAUUGAUAGGGACAGUUGGGGCGGUCUGUAUUCCAAAGCGAGAGGUGAAAUUCUUAGACCUUCGGAAGACAAACAGCUGCGAAAGCGUUCCGCAAGGAUGUUCCCUUUGAUCAAGAACGAAAGUUGGGGGAUCGAAGACGAUCAGAUACCGUCGUAGUCUCAACUAUAAACUAUACCAGCUAGGGAUCGGCCAACGUUAUUUAAACCGACUUGGUCGGCACCUUAUGAGAAAUCAAAGCAUCUGGGUUCCGGGGGGAGUAUGGUCGCAAGGCUGAAACUUAAAGGAAUUGACGGAAGGGCACCACCAGCCGUGGAGCCUGUGGCUUAAUUUGACUCAACACGGGAAAACUUACCAGGUCCAGACAUAGUAAGGAUUGACAGAUUGAUAGCUCUUUCUUGAUUCUGUGGGUGGUGGUGCAUGGCCGCUCUUAGUUGGUGGAGUGAUUUGUCUGGUUAAUUCCGUUAACGAACGAGACCCCAGCCUGCUAAAUAGCGCGCGUGGGCUUUGCUCGCGGCGAGCUUCUUAGAGGGACUCUGAUGCGCGAUAGCACAUGGAAGUUUGGGGCAAUAACAGGUCUGUGAUGCCCUUAGAUGUUCUGGGCCGCACACGGGCUACACUGGCGCCUGCAACGAGCAUAUCAGCUGGCCCGAGAGGGUCUUGGCUAAUCUUUUGAACCGGCGCCGUGCUUGGGAUUGACCUUUGCAAUUGUUGGUCAUGCAACGAGGAAUGCCUUGUAAACGCGAGUCAUCAGCUCGCAUUGAAUACGUCCCUGCCCUUUGUACACACCGCCCGUCGCUCCUACCGAUGAAUGUUCCGAUGAAAUUUUCGGAGAGUGCCUGUGAACUUGGCUCUGCCUUGCGAACGGGAAGCUCAAAGUCACUUAAAUCUGAACAUUUCGAGG